AGAUCAAAAAGCUUGAAAAACAAAAGGGGGCACCCCCGAUCCAGGGUCACGGCACCCCCAUCCUCCUCCUCAUAGUCACGGCUGGACUCACAACUACUUCUGGGUGACCAGGCCUUCCGCUCAACCGCAGAAGGGAGAGGGACAGGAUACAACAGACCCACCACCGAGGAGUGACCAUAUAUGGAAUUCCGGAUCCGUGACGCGAGAUGAUCUCGGGGACCCCCUCCUCCUCCUCACCGGAGUCAACAUCAGCUGACCCUACGGGCGAACAGGAAAUUGCUUCGACCCCAUAAUGGCGCCAACACCCGCUGCGUGACACGAGAAGUGUCAAGACCAUAAAAACAACAAGAAGCCUUUCAACUCUUGGACAUCAAAGAAGCGCCAAGACCAUAAAAAC